rnacentral:lncRNA from 1 species
UUUGAUGCAGUUUCUUACAAACAUUUUGGUACAUCAAGAUGCAUGACUAAAAAGUGGUUUCCAAAAGAGCCUGAGGCAUUUGCUGAGUAGCUCGAAGUAAGUGUGGAUUCUUCCUCACAGCUGCUUGUUAGCAUUCCAUCUUCCUCACUUGAAAUUGUACCAGUGCCUCCUGUGAAUGAACUUGUGCCACCGGUGGAAUGUGCAGCAGAGGUUGUUUCAACACUGUCCCCACCUAGGAAAUUAAGGAGAGCUGUGAAAAAGAUAACUCCAAAGAAGAAGAUCCAAGCCAUGUACAACUGCAAUUUGGUUCCUGAAAUCUGAAAUGUGUGAUCCUGUGCCAUGCAACAGCAGUUGGUUCACUCAAAAUGUGUGGUUCUGUACUUGGAUACCA